CACCGCCACCCCAAAUGUGGAAAAACGUUGGUGAUGCUGCUCGUCCUCACGAUUAACCACACUAGUAUAUCAAAUCGACGGUCAAACGUCUUCAUGGAAAGCUGUUUCACAACUUGCAUGCUCCCUAGUGCUGCUAGUCCUUGCGCUCCGCGCCGGACGACGGUUUUCCCGGGCUGGCGGCGGCCUGGCCAGCCGCAGCCGUCCCGGCGCCACCUGCUGGACCGCCGGAUCCCGCCGCCCCUCUGUUGGCCUCGUCUCCCUCUGCGGCCUCUUGCUGAGCCUGCGGCGCACACAUGACCACAGAGACCUCUUGGAUUGGAACCAGGUAAACAGGAAACCGGAGUGCCUGGAGAAAACCCGGGCAGGCACGGGGAGAACGUGCAAACUCCACACAGGCGGGGCUGGAUUCAAACCUGGGCCGUCAGAACUCAGCAACACCCACACCGGUGCAUUAAGUGUUUCAACCUCUUCAGUCCUGGUUUGACCUUGUUUCCAUCUGCCUUGAGGACCCCCACCGCCGCCGCCCACCCCAUCCCCUAAACACACACAUACACAC